rnacentral:lncRNA from 1 species
GCACUCUUAAUAUACAUGUACCGAAACCAUUUACCAGACUAAGUAGUAACCAGACUAUUUCUGUAUAAUGUGGGCUUGUUAGUUCCUUAACAAGUUGCAUUUAGAGAAUAAAUUCUAGAGAGAAACGUUAUCUUUUGACAUUGAAUUUGAUUUACUAUUUGCCAAUUACCAAACUAUAGUUGGUAAACUUUUGUUGUAUAUAUAUAUUUCCGAC